UACGUAAGGGGCCAGCGUUGUUCGGAAUUACUGGGCGUAAAGCGCAAGUAGGCGGAAUAGUAAGUCAGGGGUGAAAUCCCGGGGCUCAACCUCGGAACUGCCUUUGAUACUGCUGAUCUCGAGUCAGGAAGAGGUGAGUGGAAUUCCUAGUGUAGAGGUGAAAUUCGUAGAUAUUAGGAAGAACACCAGGGGCGAAGGCGGCUCACUGGUCCGGUACUGACUCUGAGGUUCGAAAGCGUGGGGAGCAAACAGG
rnacentral:rRNA from 1 species